rnacentral:lncRNA from 1 species
CACCAUGUCAAUAGAUCAAAACCGUCCACCCUUGGCAAUACUAGCUCAUCAAAAAAAAUAUUGAACUCUGUUUUUACAUGAUCAGCAGUAAUAGAAAGGCUAACAAAUAUAUCAAAACCAGCCAUGCGAGAAUGUUUUCGAACAGUAGUAGACGACUUUGAUUGUGAAGAUGAUGAAAACAAAAAUGUAUUUUCUGUCGAACGAUGUGGUCUCUUGUACUCUUUGAGCAACUUAUGACAAAAUGUUCUAAUCUUUUCAGCCUCUUCCUGAGCUUCAUCUCCAAAAAUCAAAGGAAAAUAGUAUUCAACUAGUUUCAUCUUGUAUCUAGGAUCCAAUAUAGUUACAACAGCUAGAAUUUCAUGCAUGCCACUCCAAUAUUUAUCAAACUUUUCCUUCAUGCUUGACGCCAUCCAUUUGACUUCAUCGCAAGAUGAUGUGCUCCAAUCACGGAUUACCAACUUUAUGUCACAAAUAUUGGGAAAGUACAAAUUGGCAGUAUGAUAUUUUGUUCCUGAAAAUAAUUCAGUCGCUUCAGUAUAAAUCUAAAAACUAAAUCCAUUUCAGCUAAACAGACAAUAUACGUUAAAAUGCUGUAUAUUCCCAUUAGUAUAACUAAAAAUUAAUAAAGGAAUAGGUUCAAAAGAAAAACAAUUGCCCAUAAAAUUCAUGUCUGAAUCUGGGUGGAAGAACAGAACAAAGUGCCAUAAAUUUAUCUUCCACGUAUUAAAUUAACACAUACGCAUUCACAAAUAUAAUACAAACCAGAAGAUCUAUGAAAUAACGAGUUAGAAUCAAAAUCUUAAAAUCAGAUAGAAUUAACUUACAAUUCUUUUUUCCUUGUUUUCUGAAGGGCUCGUGUAGAACAGAAAAUUCUUAACGAAGGGAAAUAAAUGAAAA